UACGGAGGGGGCUAGCGUUGCUCGGAUUGACUGGGCGUAAAGGGCGCGUAGGCGGCUUACACAGUCAGACGUGAAAUUCCUGGGCUCAACCUGGGGGCUGCGUUUGAUACAUGUAGGCUUGAGUUCGGAAGAGGGUCGUGGAAUUCCCAGUGUAGAGGUGAAAUUCGUAGAUAUUGGGAAGAACACCGGUGGCGAAGGCGGCGACCUGGUCCGAUACUGACGCUGGAGGCGACGAAAGCGUGGGGAGCAAACAGG
rnacentral:rRNA from 1 species